GGUGGGUAGAAACAGAUGGGUGGAGACAUGCGGGUAGAGACAGAUGGGUGGAAACAGAUGGUCAGAGACAGAUGGGUGGAGAUAGAUAAGUAAAGAUAGAUGGGUGGAGACAGGCGGGUAGAGACAGAUGGGUGGAAACAGAUAGUCGGAGACAGAUGAGAGGAGAUAGAUGAGUAAAGAUAGAUGGGUAGAGACAGAUGGGUGGGGUAAGGUGGGUAGAGACAGAUGGGUGGAGACAGGCGGGUAGAGACAGAUGGGUGGAAACAGAUGGUCGGAGACAGACGAGUGGAGAUAGAUGAGUAAAGAUAGAUGGGUAGAGACAGAUGGGUGGAAAC